GUCGGUCUAGCCAGUCGGAGGACAUCCCACACUACUUUUACCAACGGUUUUCACUGCAGGACACGAUUGUUCCAGCAGCCAUCAGCCCUGCGACAUAUGUGAUCAGCCCACUGCACUUCAACAUGCUGGUUCUACGGGCAAGUCGGUUACUUUCAAAUGUUAACCUACAUUAUUAUUCUUUACAUAUUCACUCACUCAGCCACGUACGUUGUAACCACUCCCCUUCUAUGAUGACUUAAACAUCUUUGUUUGUGUAAGUCUAGAAUUGCCACAAUUAUGAACAACACUUGUUUUCAUACGGCAGUUUAAGUACCAUAUACCAUUAGUUUUAAUUUUUGUAGUUGUAUCAUUAUCCUCCAAUUUCGCAGCAUUGUUGUCUUUACAGGAAAC
rnacentral:misc_RNA from 1 species